CAAGUUGUAGAACUCUCAGCUCCUUCCUCAGUACCAUGUCUGACUAUAUGCUGCCAUUCUCCUGACCAUGAUGAUAAUGGACUAAACCUCUGAAAUUUGUGUUAGUAGGAUUGAUGGUAUCCCCUCAGGUGGAGAGCUGGCCUAGAAGUCUCUGGUUGUGCAGAUUUCUCAGCCUGUGGCACUAUGUUGAAAGCUAUAAAGAGUGAAGACAAG